GCGCAAGUGGUGGAAUUGGUAUACACGUACGUUUGAGGGGCGUAUGCCUUACGGCUUGAGGGUUCGAGUCCCUCCUUGCGCACCA
rnacentral:tRNA from 2 species